GACAGAGGGGGCAAGCGUUACUCGGAAUUACUGGGCGUAAAGGGCGCGUAGGCGGGAUGGCAAGUCGGUCGUGAAAUCCCUCGGCUCAACCGAGGAACGUCGAUCGAUACUGCUGUUCUUGAGGAUUGCAGAGGAGACUGGAAUUCCCGGUGUAGCGGUGAAAUGUGUAGAGAUCGGGAGGAACACCGGUGGCGAAGGCGGGUCUCUGGGCAAUUCCUGACGCUGAGGCGCGAAAGCGUGGGGAGCAAACGGG
rnacentral:rRNA from 1 species